rnacentral:tRNA from 1 species
GGGUAUAGCUCAAUGGUAUAGUGCGUGCUUAGCAUGUAUGAGAUCCUGGGUUCAAUCCCCAAUACUUCCA